GGUUAUGGCUCGGGUAGAGCGCUCGCCUCGCACGUGCGAGGCCCUGGGUUCGAUCCUCAGCACCA
rnacentral:tRNA from 1 species